rnacentral:rRNA from 1 species
CCUACGGGUGGCAGCAGUGAGGAAUAUUGGUCAAUGGCCGUGAGGCUGAACCAGCCAAGUCGCGUGAGGGAAGAAUGCCCUAUGGAUUGUAAACCGCUUUUGUCCGGGAGUAAAGUCACCCACGUGUGGGGGUUGGAGAGUACCUGAAGAAAAAGCAUCGGCUAAUUCCGUGCCAGCAGCCGCGGUAAUACGGAGGAUGCGGGCGUUAUCCGGAUUUAUUGGGUUUAAAGGGUGCGUAGGCGGGUUAUCAAGUCAGCGGUAAAAUCGUGGGGCUCAACACCGUCCAGCCGUGGAAACUGGGGUUCUUGAGUGGGCGGGACGUAUGCGGAAUGCGUGGUGUAGCGGUGAAAUGCAUAGAUAUCACGCAGAACUCCGAUUGCGAAGGCAGUAUACCGGAGCCCGACUGACGCUGAAGCACGAAGGCGUGGGUAUCGAACAGGAUUAGAUACCCUUGUAGUC